UGUACAUUCUUCCAAAUCUUAUGAAUAUGAUAACAGGGAGAUUGAAAUUUUCGAAAUUUAAGAGGAACAACACAUCCUCUUAAAAUAUUUCUUUUCUCACUUGGUCAACACAUGUUAAGCACUGUAAACAUAUUUCAAACCAUUAAGUUUCAUUUUUAUCCCUUCCGAUGAGAUGUUCUCAAAUGUAUUAACAAAAACGUUUUUUUAGUAGAUUCAGUUGGCUAAAUCGUUGGAAAUAAUGAUCUUAAGGAAGUUAUUGUUUUGAAUGCUCCCUCUAAUUAAUUGAAUCUUCAACUCAAAAACUGUGAGUUAGUUUCCAUGCAAUUUUGAAAUACAUAUAUAAAGCAGUAUGUACUCUCUAUUAAAACAUUAUUUUCUUUCGUAGUGAUUCAAAUACAUACAUAAUUGUGUAUUUUGGGGGCAUAUAUGCUGAAGAGAUACAUUUGCAUGGUCAAUCCUUUUUGGUAGAGUUUGUAGUCUCCUGAAGAUUAAUAUUUAUAAUAAUAUAUAUGGAAAAAAAAACUGAAGGUUUGCUGGUUCAGAUGGAUUUGGAAUUUAAUCCAAUUCUAUAUUUUCUAGGAGAUGUCAUCUUUUUACAAAUAGAAUUAAAUCCAAGGGUUGAGAUUAGCAUACAUUUUAAUCCAAGGGUUGAGAUUAGACUUACCUUUUGUUUGGAUGAAGACGACGCUACCGAAGCUUUGAGUCUGUAGUGAAGCAUUGUGUCCGUUAAUGGAGUUGUGACCCCUGGUUCGCAUCUCUUCCUCUGUAUAUAUUUGAUAGCCAGUUUGCUACUCAUACUUUCUUCAAUGGAUUGUUUUGUUAAAUCAAAUUUUAUCUCUCAUCAUCCAUCAUCCAUGAUCAUUGCAGUUGCCAUCAACAUUCUCGAUCUUUGAAGCUUCGUCUUCGAGGGUAAAUCUUCUGAAAUUUUCGAUGUAUUUUUUGUGUGUUUAAAGUAAUCGCUUUCCUUGUGAAUUUUGUGUUAUUGUGUUUUAUUAAUUGAGAACAAUCAUUCUUUAGUCA